GUGUAUGACCCGUGCUGUCAGAAUAACCCCGAUCUAGUAAAACCACGGGAUAAAACGAAAUUGCCGUCACAAAAUACAAGUUGAAAUAUGUCAGGAUAUAAAAAUAGCUCCAUUCAUGUGUAAAUGUUAACAGGGUGAUGUAUAAAUAAGGUGCGUUCAAAAGACCUUUCUUGUCACUUUUUAUCCCAGACCAGUAUGGACUGUCAAACAUAUUUCUUAUAUUCAUGCCUGCUGGUUUAUCUGAUGUUGCAGUUCGCUAUGUCACAAGUAUUGAGCGAGGAAGAUGGAUCCUACGGUGUCUGGGUGCCACCUGUUUCAGUUGGGGAAGGCUGUGUGGUCCUGGACGACCAGAUAUUCUGUUUCGACCAAUAAACGAACGUUUAGCGGCACUGUUGAUGACAACAUGACGAAUGAGCCAAAUAAAACAUCAUUUAUACAUCAUUUUAUUGGAAUUUCAAACACAGCCAUGACGGCAGCGAUACAAGAGAAACUAUCCAGUGAAUAUAAAGUUUAUCAUUGAGACAUAUAUACAAACAACUAUGGUCCAGGUAUGACUCACAAACUGAUUAUUAUGUUGUUUUAGGUGAUAUCAAAACAUUUAUUAAAGAAGUUGACGUAGUGUUAAACACUACGAAGGCAACAACGUGGUAGUAUCGUGCAUUCUAAGGAAAAACAAAAAAUGUGAAAACGUUUUGAAUAAAUGACCGACACAUUUG